rnacentral:misc_RNA from 1 species
GAUGAAGAACGUAGCGAAAUGCGAUAAGUAAUGUGAAUUGCAGAAUUCAGUGAAUCAUCGAAUCUUUGAACGCACAUUGCGCCCGCCAGUAUUCUGGCGGGCAUGCCUGUUCGAGCGUCAUUUCAACCCUCAAGACCCCUUCGGGGGACUUGGUGUUGGGGACCGGCACAGGGGCCUGCCUGCUUGUCUUGCAGCGCCCUCGCCGCCCCCGAAAUGAAUUGGCGGCCUCGUCGCGGCCUCCCCUGCGUAGUAGCACAACCUCGCAACGGGAACGUGACGGCGGCCACUGCCGUAAAACAACCCCAAUUUUAUUAGAGUUGACCUCGAAUCAGGUAGGAAUACCCGCUGAACUUAAGCAUAUCAAAGCGGAGGA